rnacentral:rRNA from 1 species
UAUUGGACAAUGGGCGAGAGCCUGAUCCAGCAAUGCCGCGUGAGUGAUGAAGGCCUUAGGGUUGUAAAGCUCUUUUACCCGGGAUGAUAAUGACAGUACCGGGAGAAUAAGCUCCGGCUAACUCCGUGCCAGCAGCCGCGGUAAUACGGAGGGAGCUAGCGUUGUUCGGAAUUACUGGGCGUAAAGCGCGCGUAGGCGGUUUUUUAAGUCAGAGGUGAAAGCCCAGUGCUCAACACUGGAACUGCCUUUGAAACUGGAAAACUUGAAUCUUGGAGAGGUCAGUGGAAUUCCGAGUGUAGAGGUGAAAUUCGUAGAUAUUCGGAAGAACACCAGUGGCGAAGGCGACUGACUGACAAGUAUUGACGCUGAGGUGCGAA